ACCUUGAUAGUACAGUGGGUAGUAUGCCCGCCUGUCACGCAGGAGACCGGGGUCCAAUUCCCCGUCAAGGAA